GCCCCUGUAUUUCAAUGGAUAGAAUGCGAGCCUCCGAAGCUUGCGAUGUGGGUUCGAUCCCCGCCGGGGGUA
rnacentral:tRNA from 1 species